GGGGAAUAUUGCACAAUGGGCGCAAGCCUGAUGCAGCGACGCCGCGUGAGGGAUGAAGGCCUUCGGGUUGUAAACCUCUUUCGUCAGGGAACAAGGCACCGUCUUUUUGGUGGUGUUGAGGGUACCUGGAUAAGAAGCGCCGGCUAACUACGUGCCAGCAGCCGCGGUAAUACGUAGGGCGCAAGCGUUGUCCGGAAUUAUUGGGCGUAAAGAGCUCGUAGGCGGCUGGUCGCGUCUGUCGUGAAAACUUCCGGCUCAACCGGGGGCUUGCGGUGGGUACGGGCCGGCUAGAGUGCGGUAGGGGUAACUGGAACUCCUGGUGUAGCGGUGGAAUGCGCAGAUAUCAGGAAGAACACCGAUGGCGAAGGCAGGUUACUGGGCCGUUACUGACGCUGAGGAGCGAAAGCGUGGGGAGCGAACAGGAUUAGAUACCCUGGUAGUCCACGCCGUAAACGUUGGGCACUAGGUGUGAGGCUCCUUUCCGGGGGUUUUGCGCCGUAGCUAACGCAUUAAGUGCCCCGCCUGGGGAGUACGGCCGCAAGGCUA
rnacentral:rRNA from 1 species